rfam:Gossypium hirsutum cultivar TM-1 unplaced genomic scaffold scaffold783.1, whole genome shotgun sequence
UGUUAAAAAUUCCAUCCAAUUCUACCAUUAAAAAUUGACAUGGCUGAUGAAAUAACUAGAUGCCACGUGUAACUCAUGCUAAUGUACAUUGUAUAGGGACUAGUUUUUAAUAGUAGAAACUGAUAGAAUUUUUAACA